rnacentral:rRNA from 1 species
AGCGAACGCUGGCGGCAGGCUUAACACAUGCAAGUCGAACGGUCCUUCGGGAUAGUGGCGGACGGGUGAGUAACACGUGGGAACGUACCCUUAGGUUCGGAACAACACAGGGAAACUUGUGCUAAUACCGGAUAAGCCCUUCGGGGGAAAGAUUUAUCGCCUUUGGAGCGGCCCGCGUCUGAUUAGCUUGUUGGUGAGGUAAUGGCUCACCGAGGCUACGAUCAGUAGCUGGUCUGAGAGGAUGGCCAGCCACACUGGGACUGAGACACGGCCCAGACUCCUACGGGAGGCAGCAGUGGGGAAUCUUGCGCAAUGGGCGAAAGCCUGACGCAGCCAUGCCGCGUGGAUGAUGAAGGUCUUAGGGUUGUAAAAUCCUUUCACCGGGGACGAUAAUGACGGUACCCGGAGAAGAAGCCCCGGCUAACUUCGUGCCAGCCGCCGCGGUAA